GACUCUCGGCAAUGGAUAUCUCGGCUCUUGCAUCGAUGGAGAACGUAGCAAAAUGCGAUACUUGGUGUGAAUUACAAAAUCCCGUGAACUAUCGAGUCUUUGAACGCAAGUCGCAUGGUGUCCGGUAUGCCCGCGGCGGCCCUU
rnacentral:rRNA from 1 species